GCCGUUAAAGGCGUGACUAGUGGCUGCUAAAUUUUGAAAAUGUUGGUCGUGUGUGUUUACAUAUUUCUUGCUUGUUCAAAUUCAGUGACAGCUCAAAGGAGCCCCACAAUAAAAUAUAUUUCGAAAGAGAAAGUUGUAAAUAUUGGAGACACGGUUGAAUUAGAAUGUGGUCUUGAGUAUGCAAAAGAUUAUUCAACUGUGUGGGUAAGAAGGACCACUGAAGAUGCAGAUCGUCUUUUUAUUGCAUCUGGCACUAGUCAAAUAGUUCCUGUAGACAGGUAUUCCGUUCGACAUGAUGAUAAGACCAAUACCUACAUUUUAAAGGUAAACUUCUCUUCUUUUUUUUUUU